AGCGAACGCUGGCGGCAGGCCUAACACAUGCAAGUCGAACGAAGUCUUCGGACUUAGUGGCGGACGGGUGAGUAACACGUGGGAACGUGCCUUUAGGUUCGGAAUAACUCAGGGAAACUUGUGCUAAUACCGAAUGUGCCCUUCGGGGGAAAGAUUUAUCGCCUUUAGAGCGGCCCGCGUCUGAUUAGCUAGUUGGUGAGGUAAAGGCUCACCAAGGCUACGGUCAGUAGCUGGUCUGAGAGGAUGACCAGCCACAUUGGGACUGAGACACGGCCCAAACUCCUACGGGAGGCAGCAGUGGGGAAUCUUGCGCAAUGGGCGAAAGCCUGACGCAGCCAUGCCGCGUGGAUGAUGAAGGUCUUGGGAUUGUAAAAUCCUUUCACCGGUGAAGAUAAUGACUGUAGCCGGAGAAGAAGCCCCGGCUAACUUCGUGCCAUCCGCCGCAGUAAGAC
rnacentral:rRNA from 1 species